UGCAGUCGAGCGGUAACAGGGGGUGCUUGCACCCCGCUGACGAGCGGCGGACGGGUGAGUAAUGCAUAGGAAACUGCCCAGUAGUGGGGGAUAGCCCGGGGAAACCCGGAUUAAUACCGCGUACGCCCUUCGGGGGAAAGCAGGGGAUCUUCGGACCUUGCGCUAUUGGAUGUGCCUAUGUCGGAUUAGCUAGUUGGUGGGGUAAAGGCCUACCAAGGCGACGAUCCGUAGCUGGUCUGAGAGGAUGAUCAGCCACAUCGGGACUGAGACACGGCCCGAACUCCUACGGGAGGCAGCAGUGGGGAAUAUUGGACAAUGGGGGCAACCCUGAUCCAGCCAUGCCGCGUGUGUGAAGAAGGCUUUCGGGUUGUAAAGCACUUUCAGUGAGGAGGAAAAGUUGGUCGUUAAUACCGGCCAGCCUUGACGUUACUCACAGAAGAAGCACCGGCUAACUCCGUGCCAGCAGCCGCGGUAAUACGGAGGGUGCAAGCGUUAAUCGGAAUUACUGGGCGUAAAGCGCGCGUAGGUGGUUUGAUAAGCGAGAUGUGAAAGCCCCGGGCUUAACCUGGGAACGGCAUUUCGAACUGUCAGGCUAGAGUAUGGUAGAGGAGUGUGGAAU
rnacentral:rRNA from 1 species